CCUACGGGGGGCAGCAGUGGGGAAUAUUGCGCAAUGGGCGAAAGCCUGACGCAGCGACGCCGCGUGAGGGAUGAAGGUCUUCGGAUCGGAAACCGCUGUCAGCAGGGAAGAACGGUCACUGUGCUAAUCAGCAGUGAAUUGACGGUACCUGCAAAGGAAGCACCGGCUAACGCCGUGCCAGCAGCCGCGGUAAUACGGAGGGUGCGAGCGUUAAUCGGAAUGACUGGGCGUAAAGCGCGCGUAGGCGGUAUGUCAAGUCAAGGGUGAAAUCCCCGCGCUCAACGUGGGAACUGCCUUUGAAACUUGCAAACUGGAGUGUGUGCGAGGUUAGUGGAAUUCCAGGUGUAGCAGUGAAAUCCGUAGAUAUCUGGAGGAACAUCAGUGGCGAAGGCGACUCUCUGGCCCAUAACUGACGCUGAGGAGCGAAAGCGUGGGUAGCAAACAGGAUUAGAUACCCCUGUAGUC
rnacentral:rRNA from 1 species